rnacentral:rRNA from 1 species
UACGGAGGGUGCAAGCGUUAUCCGGAUUCACUGGGUUUAAAGGGUGCGUAGGCGGAUAGGUAAGUCCGUGGUGAAAUCCUGCAGCUUAACUGCAGAACUGCCGUGGAUACUAUCUAUCUUGAAUGUCGUGGAGGUUAGCGGAAUAUGUCAUGUAGCGGUGAAAUGCUUAGAUAUGACAUAGAACACCCAUUGCGAAGGCAGCUAACUACGCGAUAAUUGACGCUGAUGCACGAAAGCGUGGGAUCAAACAGG